rnacentral:rRNA from 1 species
AUGUGAAGAACAUGUUCCAAAUCACGAUCGAUUCCCUUUUCAAAACCUGCUGCAGCAGCUCGGGCUCUUCCUGCAUGCCAUAAAUGGCCCACAAAAAAGAAGAAUCCUAGAACAAAAUGAGAAGUUGAUAACCAACUUUUGGGAGAGACAUAA